rnacentral:lncRNA from 1 species
UUGGCUAUAUAAAUCCUAUUGUACUUAUCUUUGUAUAUAAUUUUGUUGUCUCAUAAAUGAGUUAUGAGUUAUACCUAAAAUUGUAAUAUGACCCCAAGCACCCCUGGUUUCAUUUGUUCCUUGCUCACUCUGCAGCCAUAAAAUACAAGCAAUGUUCUCUAUGGAUCGCAUAUGAACAUUGGUAGUGGCAGACAUUAAAUAAAAAAAGUGGUAGAGAAAGUGAAACGAGAGCAAAUGAAAAUGUGCACAAUAAAGAAGGGAAUCAACGAUAUUCCAUCUAAUUAACACGAGUUGGAUCAAUUUUGAAAAGAAUAUAAGUUGUACAUUGUUGAUACGUACGAAUUAUAUAUGAUCUUGGAAAUAAUAUCCAUGGCAUUUUCUAUGAGAAGAUAUUCCGAUAAUAUACUUGUUAUCUUUCUUGAUCAAUAUGCCAUUUCUGAUUUAUAAGUGAUUUUUUGUUUUUGUUUUGGGUACUAGUAUAUAUAAGUGAUUUUCUUGCUGGCACAAACAAAUUAUGCUCGAAAGAUGUGGCAUUAU